rnacentral:rRNA from 1 species
UACGUAGGGUGCAAGCGUUGUCCGGAAUUAUUGGGCGUAAAGAGCUCGUAGGCGGCCUGUCGCGUCGACCGUGAAAACCCGCAGCUCAACUGCGGGCUUGCGGUCGAUACGGGCAGGCUGGAGUUCGGUAGGGGAGACUGGAAUUCCUGGUGUAGCGGUGAAAUGCGCAGAUAUCAGGAGGAACACCGGUGGCGAAGGCGGUUCUCUGGGCAUGUCCUGACGCUGAGGAGCGAAAGUGUGGGGAGCGAACAGG